GACGAACGCUGGCGGCGUGCCUAAUACAUGCAAGUAGAACGCACAGUUUAUAGUGUAGCUUGCUACACCAUAGACUGUGAGUUGCGGACGGGUUAGUAACGCGUAGGUAACCUGCCUGUUAGCGGGGGAUAACUAUUGGAAACGAUAGCUAAUACUGAAUAAUAUUAAUUAUUGCAUGGUCAUUAUUUGAAAGUUGCAAUUUCACCACUACCAGAUGGACCUGCGUUGUAUUAGCAAGUGGGUGAGGUAAGGCCCCACCUAGGCGAGGAAACAUACCCGACCUCAGAGGGGGAUCGGCGACGCUGGGACUGGGACACGGCCCAGAACCCUGCGGGAGGCAGCAGGAGGGAACUUUCGGGAAUGGACGAAAGGCUGACCCAGCCACGACGCGUGAGUGAAGAACGUUGUCGGAUCGUGAAGAUCUGUUAUGAGAGAAGAUCGGGUGUGAGUGUCGACAGUUCACAUUGUGACGGUAUCUGAAGAAGAAGCCACGGCUAACUACGUG
rnacentral:rRNA from 1 species